GAAUUAGAAUCUAAUAAAGCUAAUUAAUUCCAUUCACACUAUCAUACCUAAUUAUUAUUAUUAGA
rnacentral:tRNA from 1 species